rfam:Nannochloropsis gaditana CCMP526 unplaced genomic scaffold scaffold032, whole genome shotgun sequence.
UCCCGAUUAGUCUACGCGGUUAGGAUGGCUGACUCUCACUCAGCAGAACUGGGUUCGACUCCCAGAUCGGGAG